UUGACCUCAAAUCAGGUAGGACUACCCGCUGAACUUAAGCAUAUCAAUAAGCGGAGGAAAAGAAACUAACAAGGAUUCCCCUAGUAACUGCGAGUGAAGCGGGAAAAGCUCAAAUUUAAAAUCUGGCGGUCUCUGGCCGUCCGAGUUGUAAUCUAGAGAAGUGUUAUCCGCGCUGGACCGUGUACAAGUCUCCUGGAAUGGAGCGUCAUAGAGGGUGAGAAUCCCGUCUUUGACACSGACUGCCAGGGCUUUGUGAUGCGCUCUCAAAGAGUCGAGUUGUUUGGGAAUGCAGCUCAAAAUGGGUGGGUAAAUUCCAUCUAAAGCU
rnacentral:rRNA from 1 species